UACAGAGGGGGCAAGCGUUGUUCGGAAUUACUGGGCGUAAAGGGCGCGUAGGCGGCCUGUUAAGUCGGACGUGAAAUCCCACGGCUCAACCGUGGAACUGCUUGGCAUACUGGCGGUCUUGAGCAACCUAGGGGCGAGCGGAACAAAUGGUGGAGCGGUGAAAUGCGUAGAUAUCAUUUGGAACGCCAAUGGUGAAAACAGCUCGCUGGGGGUUUGCUGACGCUGAGACACGAAAGCCAGGGGAGCAAACGGG
rnacentral:rRNA from 1 species